GCCUUAAUGGUGGAGUGGUCAGCACGCUCGACGCGUAAUCGAGAGGUCCGUGGUUCGAUUCCCGGUGAAGGCG
rnacentral:tRNA from 1 species